rnacentral:lncRNA from 1 species
AAAUGAAAGCAAGCAAAUGUAUCAAAUUGUAAUCAAUAAAUGUUGUAAUAACUUAAUUGUAUUGGAAGUUGAAUGUAAUGGAAUUGUGAUGUAAAAUGAAUGGAUGUAAUAUCAUAGGAUGUGUUUAUGUUGAUUGAUACCUUCCUGAUGCAAUUCUGUUUGCUGAGUACUGUUCCUGGUUGGAACCUUUGUACUGUACUUGUUGCGACGCCUAGGACGUACAGGGGAAACUCUGUCCGUUCGGCGGUCUGUCGGCGUGCCCGAACCGGACCAAAUUGGGAGCGGUCUCGGGGCGUGACAACUGAUGUAAAGCAAAGAAUGUAAAGUUCGUUUUGAGCUAAUGUGAUGUAAGAAAGAAAUGAUAAAAAGUAUGUAAAGAAUUUUGAAUGUACAAGUCAAGUGACAUGUAUGAGAUCAAAGUUUGAAUCAUAGUACAUGUUAAAUG